CUUGUCCUUUGUGAAUGGCCCUUGGCCUUCCUGUUAGUGAGACGCGUGGGAUUAAUGCGGACAGCGGCUCGAGGUGGCAUUCAUGCACCCAACCAUCAUCAAUAAAUGGCAACUUUUAAAGACAAAUUGUUGAUGACUGAUUAAAGCUAGGCAACUUCACUUUAAUACCAUGGAUAAAAUGUGAAUUUUUAAAAGGAAUUGUCUGAUACUAAAAGGAACGAUACACCUCCUUCUUCCAUUAAUUUUACAACUAUGACUUCAAACAAAACCAGCCUUCAAACAUUACAAAAUGAAAUAAUUUCUAAUAUCUAUCUCAGUCAAAAAACGGGAUGAACAUCUGCGAACCACAAGCCAUCCCUACCCAUGAGUUUUAGUGGAGACACAAACCUCAGAUACGUCAUCAAGUUUCGGGAACAACACAAUAAAAUAUCACAAAUCUAAACACAUCACAUACCAACAUCAAUAGUCAUCUAGCUUAAAAACAAACACAAAACAGAUGCAAAAAUAUCUUAAAGAGUGGAAAGGAGCAAACCCUAAAGUGAAGGCGAACAAGUCUCGUAGAAACCUUGGAAAUCCGACGAAAUUCCGGCGGUGGUGAUGGCUUCAGGUAUCUACUCCUUCUUUCCUUCUUUCUUCCCUCUUGCGCACCUUGCUUCUUCUUCUUCGUUUCUAUGUCACAAAUCGCGGUUAUCGGUUUAGUUCGACUAAUUCAGAGCUCCGAUGAGAAACUUUAGAUAGUUUUUAAUCGUAUGAACUUUUAAUCAAUGGACUGGUGUGCGUUUUGGCAGGGUAACGGUGCGUAAUCAGGUCCCCCUUAUCCCAAUGAUGGAUGGUUUUUAUAUAGAGCUUUGGCGGUACGAGGUUUCUCACUCCUGAGCUGGCGGAAAUUCUAAAUAAUUCCGUUAGAAUCAAAUCCCCUCUAGAUUUUGGUGUGGUCCCAGGAAUGAAGGUGGUGAGAUCUGUUUCUGUUUUGUCCGUAGUGAAAUCUUCAAAAUCAAGUAUCCUGUGUUGAGUUUCUCAUUUACCGCCAUGAAAGAUCUACGUGUCGUGGUAAUCUCAAGGCCAGUUUCACAUCCAUGUAUCGCUUCGACGUCUAUGACGGUAUGCGUCCUUCAACAAGUUAGGUGUACCUUAGUUUGAGGUGUCGUAACGUUGGUCCUCCUUCCUUUGGGAAUCGAUACGGAAUGCUUUCUUUUGGACAUGUAUGCAACUCACGGUUUUAUUGGAGGAAGAUCCUCCAAUAGGUGCAUUGAAUCAUGACUAUGUUGGUUUAAUAUUGAUGCAGGAAGUUUGUUGUGCCUUUUGUCGUUCUGCUUAUGUUUCAGGUAUGGACCGUGGGCCCUGUUCCUUUUGAUCAAUGCUCUUAACAAUGCUCGACUUGUACUUUGUAGGUCUAACAGGUUUUGUCGCCAUUCCAAAUUUGGUUCAGCGGCGUUGAUGCUUGGAGAACCGUGUGAAAAUUUGGUCGAGACUUUGGCUUGAUUAGUAUUUGGUCAAACAUCCCUCUUUUCUCAAAUUGCAUUGUCUUAUGUAGCUUGCUCUAGUUGGUGUUUUGCUAAUAACCCGACACGGCUUGUGCCUUGCACUGUCAAAAAUGAUUGGCAACAGUUGUACAUGCCCUGUAUGUUUCAGACUUUCGGAUUUGGCCUACAGCAAGUUAAAGUUUGAUGAAUGCUGCCUUUGUUGCCGGUUUUAUAUUCAUAGCUGAUAGUGCCAAUUUUUAGAGUGGUAAAAAAACAUAUAUAUGUUUGUAUUACCCUGUGCACAUGUCUUACAUUUGUACUGGCAGCUUGUAACAGGUCUUGUGGGAUUCAUUUUGGUGACAGUUUAUCAAAAGCAGCAUAAGCUUUCUAGCUUGGUACGGAUGAGACAUUCGGCCGGUGAAUGCAUUGCGAUUGACGCAUACAGCAUGGGAGAAUCCCCAUG